AAAGAAAAAAGAAAAAAGAAAAAAGGAAAAAUAAAAAAGAGAUAAAAGGAAAGAAGUAAAGUAGAAUAAGAUAGAUGCCAUGUUUUCUCUCUAUCAAGCUCUUAGUCUUAAUUUAGCGAGAUGAGUCUUAUUGCUUAGGCUUAUACCUUGUUACUUUCCUUACCACCCAUUUAUUCAUCAUGUAGAGCAUAGCACUCAUGGUACAAAUCACUUGACAUCCAUUGUGCAUACCUUGGCAAAUCCCUACUUCCCAUGCAACAUCGAAACCGAGGACUCACAUGCCUUGGGGUCACUCUGCGUUACAUGGGCCUAUCUUUUCCUUGUCGAGUCACUCCCAUCCUUUCACAUCAUUUUCUAAUGAUCGGAAACACGAGGCUUCUUGGUUCAUGAUGAAUGCUUACUUGACUAUGUGAUCUGUGCUUCCCAAUACAUGAAUUGGUUUGUACUACUGAAAGACUUUGUAUCAUGAAGCAUCCCUUUAGUAUAUGGUACUAGAGCUACAGUGUUGAAGAGACACUCAGAGUCAACUUCCUCAAGAUCCACGACAAUGAUCACUUAUAUUAAGAUCAUUUCCCCCUGCCACACGAGCUAUGAGGAGGUCAAGAUGUCGUGGGCGGUGGUGCCGCUGGACGACGAAAACCUACUCCCCCGCACCUCCCUCGCCCACAAGCGCUGGUGUCGCAUCGUAUCCGACACCCUCUUUUUCCGCCGCUUUCGCACACACCACCGCUGCAGACCUCCGUUCAGUUGCUUGAUCAGUGACCUGUGAGGCUUCUCCUACACAUCUACCAUGGAGGCUCCAGAUCAUGUCCCCGCUGGGCACGGCUCCUGGCUCUUGGAUCCACGACACUGAUCACUUGAUUGGUUCCGGUGGACAACCAAAAGGUUCCCUGGAAUUGCCGAGGAGAUUCACCCAAUGAACCGCUUUCAGCAGAACCGUUGAAGUUUUACUCUGGUGUAACGACACGCCUCGAAUCGCUCACUAGUAGCCUGAGUUGCAAUUUCGUGGAGUGUCUGAAGCUUGAAGUUUUCCUCGUGUUUAUGCAAUUAUUAUGAUCUGGAAAACAAAUUCCUUGCGGUAUCUGGUUUAGUUUAGUUUUAUGUCACAAGUUCUGCUUCUAUAGCAAAGAUUGACAAAUUAUUUGUAAAACAAUUGAACUAAAUUCUAU